AAUGAACGCUGGCGGCAGGCCUAACACAUGCAAGUCGAACGAGUGGCGGACGGGUGAGUAAUGUCUGGAAAACUGCCUGAUGGAGGGGGAUAACUAAUGGAAACGGUAGCUAAUACCGCAUACCAUCAGAUGUGCCCAGAUUGGAUUAGCUAGUUGGUGGGGUAACGGCUCACCAAGGCGACGAUCCAUAGCUGGUCUGAGAGGAUGAGCAGCCACACUGGAACUGAGACACGGUCCAGACUCCUACGGGAGGCAGCAGUGGGGAAUAUUUCGCAAUGGGCGCAAGCCUGACGCAGCCAUGCCGCGUGUAUGAAGAAGGCCUUCGGGUUUUAAAGUACUUUCAGCGGGGAGGCGUUACCCGCAGAAGAAGCACCGGCUAACUCCGUGCCAGCAGCCGCGGUAAUAC
rnacentral:rRNA from 1 species